AACUUUUAUAACUUUUACAUUGUUGACAUUAUUUGUAUACGAUCCUGUUUCGAACCAUGCACCCAAUUGUGGAAGUUAAAACUCCAAACUUUUUUACAAUUAAAGAAAUGAAGACCAGACUAUGCUUUGGAAAUUUCUAUCCGGGAGUACAAAAUCGAUACUUGGAAGCUGAUACUGAUAGAAGAAAAAAUUCAUGUCGACAUGCGUCAAGGGCAUAGCCUCAUGCAUGAGGCGCAUCAUGAUCACCAGUUCGUGGAAGCCCAAGAACUUGGAGGUGGUAGAAGGAAAACCCGUGUUACCAUGCAUGAGGUGCAUAGCCUCAUGCACCAGGCCCAUCGUGAUCAACAAUAUUUUAUUAAGGCGAAGGAGUCUAUCAAUUAAGAAAUUUUUGGUGAGUCAAAGAUUGAAACCGCCAUGGAAAUCACCAUGGAUAAAGCUUGAAGCUCUAGAAAAAGAAGAGAAAGAAUGUAUUGAUUAAUUGAUGAAAACGGUUACAAGAGUAGCUUAUAUAGAAGCUGAGAUCUGUAACUAACUACAUGCAAUACAAAUGAAAUGUAAAUGUAAGUGAAAUUACAAAUGCACUAAGAUAACUUGCGCGCUAA